rnacentral:tRNA from 1 species
GGGCGCUUAGCUCAGCGGUAGAGCGCUGCCCUUACAAGGCAGAGGCCGAAGGUUCGAAUCCUUCAGCGCCCA